rnacentral:rRNA from 1 species
CUGGAAUAAUACGCCGAAAGGGGUACUAAUACCGGAUACUCUUGCUUUAUAUAAGUUUUGCAAGCAAAGGUGGCCUCUGACAUAAGCUACUGCAUGAAGAGGGGUCUGCGUACCAUUAGCUUGUAGGUGGGGUAAUGGCCUACCUAGGCAACGAUGGUUAGCGGGUCUGAGAGGAUGAUCCGCCACACUGGCACUGGAACACGGGCCAGACUCCUACGGGAGGCAGCAGUGAGGAAUAUUGCGCAAUGGGGGCAACCCUGACGCAGCGACGCCGCGUGAGUGAGGAAGGCCUUCGGGUCGUAAAGCUCUGUCAAAGGGAAAGAAAUGUAUAAUGGCUAAUACCUGUUAUAUUUGACGGUACCCUUAAAGGAAGCACCGGCUAACUCCGUGCCAGCAGCCGCGGUAAUACGGAGGGUGCAAGCGUUGUUCGGAAUUACUGGGCGUAAAGGGCGCGUAGGCGGUUUGAUAAGUCAGAUGUGAAAGCCCACGGCUUAACUGUGGAAGUGCAUUUGAUACUGUCAGACUUGAGUACCAGAGGGGAAAGUGGAAUUCCCGGUGUAGAGGUGAAAUUCGUAGAUAUCGGGAGGAAUACCGGUGGCGAAGGCGACUUUCUGGCUGGAUACUGACGCUGA